UACGUAGGGGGCAAGCGUUGUCCGGAUUUAUUGGGCGUAAAGAGCGUGUAGGCGGCUUUACAGGUCCGUUGUGAAAACUCGAGGCUCAACCUCGAGACGCCGGUGGAAACCGUAAGGCUAGAGUCCGGAAGAGGAGAGUGGAAUUCCUGGUGUAGCGGUGAAAUGCGCAGAUAUCAGGAGGAGUACCCGUGGCGAAAGCGGCUCUCUGGGACGGUACUGACGCUGAGACGCGAAAGCGUGGGGAGCAAACAGG
rnacentral:rRNA from 1 species